AUGUGUUGUUGCGGACCCAGGGUCACAGUGGUCAUUGGUGAAAUGGACAACUUCUUGGAAUGGCUCCAAUCACAAGGUCUGAGAGCAGAAACAGCCCAAGCAGUGAUCAAUAUACUUGGAAUUGAGAAUCGGAAGGUUCUUCAAGCUUGUACAGACUACGAUUCAUUGCGAACAGAGCUCCUCUCUCUCGCCAAAGAGAAAUUUAAAUUUGCAAUGUAUGCUGACUUCUGUAAAUUUGUGAAAUCUUUUUUGAAGCCGCAGGUUGUCCAGCUUGCAGGCUCUUCUCUGUUGGGAAGUUUAUUCGUCAACUUGGAGAAUGUUAUUCGCGAACUUUCCAGUUUCUGCCAAAAGUUUAUUGGAUUCCAAAAUGUGCAGCUGGAAAAUGUUCCUGGUUUUCGGGGAAUCUGUUUCAGUGAUGUCUGCAACCUCCAUAAUCAGGAUGAUGGAUUAACACCUAAGUCUGACGUCUUCUCGCCUCUCCGCCUGGCGAGGUUGUUGCCAGUCGGAGGCAUGCUGUGCGGCUCGGCCCACAUGGCAUAUGGACAGGCAGCCCAUUUACUUGCACUAACCGCCGGUCACCGUGGACGGCCCGGGAGUUCGGUUCUGCAGCUUAGAAUCAUCUUGCCGGUUGUAAAGUGGAGCCGCUUCCAGCCAUCAUGGUUGGGCCAUGUGCUGGCCAGGGCCCAACCAGAGCCCCCGAUUUGGGUGAUGACACAUCGCUUUGGGUCGUCACCCCACUCCGCACCACAGAGUCUAUAAAGGAACGAAUCGUGGGGCCGUUCGUGCGUUCCCCAUCUGCUGCCCCCACCUUCCUUCACCAGGUCACUGCUGACUCUGCCCUUCUUCAUCGCCUCGUCGCUGGCUCCACCCACCCACCUGAUCUGCCCAUUUGCUUCGGACUCCGCCUUUCUCCACCCACUUGCUUCGGACUCCGCCUUUCUCCACCCACUGCUUCGGACUCCGCCUUUCUCCACUCACUGCUUCGGACUCCACCUUUCUCCACUCAUUGCUUCGUACUCCGGCUUUCUCCACUCACUGCUUCGGAUUCCGCCUUUCUCCACUCACUGCUUCGGACUCUGCCUUUCUCCACUCGAUGCUUCGGACUCUGCCUUUCUCCACUCGCUGCUUCGGACUCCGCCUUUCUCCACUCGCUGCUUCGGACUCCGCCUUUCUCCACUCGCUGCUUCGGUCUCCGCCUUUCUCCACUCGCUACUUCGGACUCCGCCUUUCUCCACUCGCUGCUUCGGACUCUGCCCAAAGUCCUUCCUUCAUGCCUGACAGUCACACCCUAUUCUCUGGAUUGAAGCCAGCUGCACGAAGUGCUACGAAGUGGGAGAGGAGGUGCCAGCUCUCAGGGAGGUUUUGCCCAGUGGAGCAUCCCCCUAAAAUGUACUGGCGGCGUGGUCGGGCAAUUGUGCAAGGUAUUGAGAGACCGUUAUCCUCAUCUCCUCUCCUUUUUCUCUUCAUUAACUCCUCUUCGUGUGUGUGUGUGUGUGUGUGUGUGUGUGUGUGUGUGUGUGUGGGGGGGGGGGGGGGGGGGGGGGGGGGGGGGGGGGGGGGGGGGGGGGGGGGUGUGUGUGUGUGUGUGUGUGUGUGUGUGUGUGUGUGUGUGUGUGUGUGUGUGUGUGUGUGUGUGAGAUGGCGCCUGUCCUAUGUUUAAGUUUAGAGUCUGGAAGAGUUACAUCAGGAUAACUCUGCUCUGUGCCUGCUUUUGUUUGUUGCUUGUAUUGUCGCACCUCUCACGUUUCUUGCUAUCUUCCACACAAUAAACUAUUCAUUGUACCGCAUAGCUUUCCUCACCUGCCUGUAAUAAAUCCUUUGUAUAAAUGUUCCCAGCUCUUUUUUUGUCAUUUUCUUUCAUUGAUCCAGCAUGGUCCGUAUCCUAGCCGAGCCAGGAUUUUAUUCCCAAUGAUCCGUUCAUUUUAGCCUGUACGUCCUUGGCAGAGUCGCUUGGCUGCAUCUGAUACGGUAAAGUGAUCUGGUUCGGACAAGGCAUACCGAGGGUGUGUCACGUGAUUAAUUAGGUAACCUGGUUAACCCAUAGACGGAGGAUCCUAAGUCACGUGGUUGAGUUAUUGGCGUUCACGGACGGUUAGUGACUUGUCGCGUCACGGAAUUAUCCGUGUGCGACGGCCUGCAAUUCCUGGGAGUCUGGUGGGAGCCAAGAUAGCUUCCCCCCCUGGAGGUCUUCUCAACUGACCCCCGGCCUGGAACAAUAUAAACCUUGGGGAAAACACCAGCUAUGGUCACAUAAAUGUGAAACACACCCUCGCGUUGGGGAGGUUUUGACACAUUUAAUUGAGCGUGUAAAUUGGAAACGGUGCCCGAGGAAGCCACAUUGGAGGAAGUUUUAUUGUAUAUGAGGUGUGUUCAAAAAGUAUCCAACCUUAAUUUUUCGUGCGUAAACAAAUGAAGCUAGGGAGGCGUGGUUUGGUGCACGUAUGUAGGCGAUCCUAAUAUGUAUGCGUGAAUAUUUUCCCGCAUGCAGAAGCUGUCAGUCGCCGACAGACCGCCGAUGAGUGACAAAGUGUAAGUGAGCAUCGUCGGAUUUUCGUUUUUGUCAAAAUGAUGGAAAACUUGAACAACGCUACUGCUUCAAAUUUUGUGUAAAGCUUGGCGAUUCCCAAGUGGAAAUUAUCUGCAAGAUUCAACAGGCCUUCAGGAAGGAAGCAAUGGGCACCACAGAUAAAAGAGUGGUACAACCACUUCAAAGAUGGUCGCACAUCAGUGGAAAGUGAAGCACGUUAUGGUUGGCCAUCAACAUCCCGAAAUGAGAUCGUCAUUGACCAAGUGAGGACCCUGCUGAUGCAGGAUCGUCGAACCACGAUCAGAGAACUUGCGGACGAGGCGUACGUCAGCAUUGGAUCCGUUCUUUCCAUUGUGACUGAGGAUUUGGGCUUAAGGAGAAUCUCAGUGAAGUUCGUGCCAAAGCUGAUAACGAUCGAGCAGAAGCAAUUCCGUUUGGAGAUCGCAAAGGACAUGCUGGAGACUGUGAACAGCGAUCCCAACUUCUUCAACACAGUGAUCAGUGGCGAUGAGACCACAGUGAACUGACUGCGCUCACUUACACUUCCUCACUCAUCGGCGGUCUGUCGGCGACUGACAGUAGGCCGUCAGCCGUAAGCUGUAUCGUGCAAUUUCGCUCCACUCAUCGGGGGGGGGGGG
ensembl:lincRNA